AAUUUUUGACAAUGGGGGCAACCCUGAUCCAGCCAUCCCGCGUGUGCGAUGACGGCCUUCGGGUUGUAAAGCACUUUUGGCAGGGAAGAAAAGGUUCUGGCUAUUAUCUGGAACUGCUGACGGUACCUGCACAAUAAGCACCGCCUAACUACCGGCCAGCAGCCGCGGUAAUACCUAGGGUGCAAGCGUUAAUCGGAAUUACUGGGCGCAAAGCGUGCGCAGGCGGUUCGGCAAGAAGGAUGUGAAAUCCCGGGGCUUAACCUCGGAACUGCAUUCUUAACUGCCGGGCUAGAGUAUGCCAGAGGGGGGUAGAAUUCCACGUGUAGCAGUGAAAUGCGUAGAGAUGUGGAGGAAUACCGAUGGCGAAGGCAGCCCCCUGGGAUGAUACUGACGCUCAUGCACGAAAGCGUGGGGAGCAAACA
rnacentral:rRNA from 1 species